rnacentral:rRNA from 1 species
GACGAACGCUGGCGGCGUGCUUAACACAUGCAAGUCGAACGGACAGACCCUGCGCUUGUUGCUUGCUCGAUUGGCGAACGCGUGAGUGUCACGUGUGUAACCUGUCCUUGUCUUUCGGGUAACAUCACGAGACACGGGCGAAUACCGCAUAGGAGCUCUUGCAGCACGUUGUGGGUUGGAAAGUUUCGGCUGUUGUGGAUGGACUCGCGGCUUAUGAGCUUGUUUGUGGAGUAGGGGUUUACCAAGGCUAUGACGGGUAGCCGGCCUUGGAGGGUGAACGGCGACAAUGCGCCUGAGAGACGGCGCAGAAUCCUAUGGGAGGCAGCAGUGGGGAACAUUGCAGAAUGGGCGGAAGCCUGAUGCAGAAACGCCGCGUGCGGGAUGACGGCCUUCGGGUUGUAAACCGCUGUCGACUGUGACGAAGCGGGAGUGACGGUAAUGGGUAAAGAAGCACCGGCUAACUACGUG